UACGAAGGGUGCAAGCGUUGUUCGGAUUUAUUGGGCGUAAAGCGCGCGCAGGCGGAUUAGCAAGUCAGAUGUGAAAUCUCGGGGCUUAACCCCGAAACUGCGUCUGAAACUACCAAUCUAGAAUGUCGGAGAGGAAGAUGGAAUUUCGCAUGUAGGGGUAAAAUCCGUAGAGAUGCGAAGGAACACCAGAGGCGAAAGCGAUUUUCUGGACGACUAUUGACGCUGAGGCGCGAAAGCGUGGGGAGCAAACAGG
rnacentral:rRNA from 1 species